ACCCAGCUGGUGAGUCCUAAAUAGAACAAAACGCGCGUCCUGGAU
rfam:Schistosoma curassoni strain Dakar, Senegal genome assembly, scaffold: SCTD_contig0002634